rnacentral:misc_RNA from 1 species
GUUUGGGCAUGGUACUUUUUUGGAGGAUCCGCUUGAGCUAAAGCUCAAUCAGAGAUUUGCUAGGACCGAUGGUUUAGUUUGUUUUCUAAGCUCAAUCUUUGGAUGCAUGGUUCAUUUUCCUCCAUUCUACUUGAUUUAGGGCUAAAUUGAUGGGAUGGUAUUACGCUGCUAAACCCUGCUUUAUGCUUUGACCCGUGUUAUACUAGGAUAUCAAGUUGUUACUUAUUCUGGCAUAGUUGGACUGCUAUCAAAUGUAAUUUGAGCUUGACCUAGAUCAAUGAUUUUAACUGAGGAAGUUCUAGUUUGCAUUUCCUUGUUUGCAUGGCAUGAUGAUUAAAAAGGGCAGCAAAAAUCAGUUCAAUUAGUAUGAUGAAUAAUGAAUGUGAAAAAAAAAAGUUAAUUUUGGUUGUACUUAUUGUCUGUUCUCCACAUCUGGAUUGCUGGAGAAUGUAUUGUCUACUGUCCAUUUUCAGUUGGAGGAUACUUGUUCUUGUAGGUGAUUAUUUUUAGGUUUACAUGAUCUCAAAUUUUUACUGAACAAAAUAGAACGCAAAAAAAAGUUCCAUGUAGAUGACACCAACUAAUUUAGACUCAAUUGAAUAGAGUGGAAAUGUCUCAAAUGUCUCUUUCUCUGUCAUAAACAAUUUGGUGUCUGAAUGGCACGGAGUGUAUCUGACAUCCAUACUAAUGAAUACACAUUUCUACGUGUAUAUGCAGAAAGAGAAGAGGUUCUUUUUUCUAGUUGCUCUCAUCCUAUCUCUUUAAUAUUCUCCAGUAUCACUUCAACUAAGAAGAGGAAGCACCAAUCUCUGGAAAGUCAUAUUACACUGAUGCUUCAUUUUGCAUAAAGUUAGAUUAUGAAUUACACAAUUUUUGUGGUGGGCAUCUCUGACAUCUUUGACCAGACCUUACCUGACUAUUGAAAAGAUCUUUGAUUUGGCAAAGUUGGAAGUGAGGAAAGAGGGAAAAUGAUUAUUUUUGCCAGGGAAACUGCAUGUUUUUGCACACAUUAGAAUUAUUAUGUUAAUAGUUAUGAAAUGCUUUGGAACUAUAACUCUUUGUAAAGUUUCCUGUUAUGAGACCUUCAAGUGUGAUUGGGUUGUGUAACUGUAACAUGUAGGUAGUGCUGGUGAUGUUUUAGAAGAUGAUCCUGUUGGAAGACUUAAAGUUUUUGUUUAUGAACUUCCAAGCAAAUACAACAAGAAGAUUCUGCAAAAGGAUCCAAGAUGCCUCACCCACAUGUUUGCUGCUGAGAUCUUUAUGCAUCGGUUUCUCUUAUCUAGCCCUGUUAGAACGCUCAAUCCUGAGGAAGCUGAUUGGUUUUAUACCCCUGUAUACACCACUUGUGACUUGACACCAAAUGGCCUCCCUUUGCCUUUUAAAUCACCAAGAAUUAUGAGAAGUGCUAUCCAGCUUAUUUCUUCAAACUGGCCUUAUUGGAAUCGGACUGAAGGAGCUGAUCACUUUUUUGUUGUGCCCCAUGACUUUGGAGCAUGCUUCCAUUAUCUAGAAGUGAAGGCAAUUGAAAGAGGAAUUCUUCACUUGCUCCAACGUGCUACCUUGGUGCAAACUUUUGGACAACGGAAUCAUGUUUGCUUAAAAGAGGGCUCAAUAACCGUUCCUCCAUAUGCCCCUCCACAGAAAAUGCAAGCCCACCUUAUUCCUGAGAAAACUCCUAGAUCUAUCUUCGUCUACUUCAGAGGGUUGUUUUAUGAUGUGGGAAAUGACCCAGAAGGUGGCUACUAUGCAAGAGGUGCUCGAGCAGCAGUGUGGGAGAACUUCAAGGACAAUCCACUUUUUGACAUAUCCACAGAGCACCCAACUACAUACUAUGAAGACAUGCAACGAGCUGUGUUUUGUUUGUGUCCACUUGGCUGGGCCCCCUGGAGUCCAAGAUUGGUUGAAGCAGUUAUAUUUGGUUGCAUUCCUGUCAUCAUAGCAGAUGAUAUUGUUUUACCCUUUGCUGAUGCAAUACCAUGGGAAGAGAUUGGGGUAUUUGUUGAUGAGAAAGAUGUACCCAACUUGGACACCAUUCUGACUUCAAUCCCGCCUGAAGUAAUACUGAGGAAGCAGAGAUUACUUGCAAACCCUUCAAUGAAGCAGGCAAUGCUAUUCCCACAACCUGCUCAACCAGGAGAUGCUUUCCAUCAAGUUCUGAAUGGACUUGCACGUAAACUGCCACAUGACAAAAGUAUUUACUUGAAGCCAGGUGAGAAGAUCUUGAACUGGACUGCAGGUCCAGUUGGUGACCUGAAGCCUUGGUAGCAGCUGUAACAUACACAUUUCUUUGAAGAAAUUCUUAGUAUUCAUUCCCUUAGCCCAACCAACAGAGUUUCUCAAAAGUGUGAAUCUUGAUUACCACACUGUUUUGGGGAAUGGGGACGCUGCUUCGACCAUAAGUAGUUUUUAUUAUUAUUUUUUUAAACCUUUUAUGUAAAGGAACUUUUUAUCAGGACUGAACUGUGUUUCAAUUAUUGGAGUCAUUAAAUUGCUAAAUGCGAGCAACUAAGAUUACUAUUAAGUGCCAA